rnacentral:rRNA from 1 species
UUAAGUAGACCGCCUGGGGAGUACGGCCGCAAGGUUAAAACUCAAAUGAAUUGACGGGGGCCCGCACAAGCGGUGGAGCAUGUGGUUUAAUUCGAUGCAACGCGAAGAACCUUACCUGGUCUUGACAUCCACAGAACUUUCCAGAGAUGGAUUGGUGCCUUCGGGAACUGUGAGACAGGUGCUGCAUGGCUGUCGUCAGCUCGUGUUGUGAAAUGUUGGGUUAAGUCCCGCAACGAGCGCAACCCUUAUCCUUUGUUGCCAGCGGUCCGGCCGGGAACUCAAAGGAGACUGCCAGUGAUAAACUGGAGGAAGGUGGGGAUGACGUCAAGUCAUCAUGGCCCUUACGACCAGGGCUACACACGUGCUACAAUGGCGCAUACAAAGAGAAGCGACCUCGCGAGAGCAAGCGGACCUCAUAAAGUGCGUCGUAGUCCGGAUUGGAGUCUGCAACUCGACUCCAUGAAGUCGGAAUCGCUAGUAAUCGUGGAUCAGAAUGCCACGGUGAAUACGUUCCCGGGCCUUGUACACACCGCCCGUCACACCAUGGGAGUGGGUUGCAAAAGAAGUAGGUAGCUUAACCUUCGGGAGGGCGCUUACCACUUUGUGAUUCAUGACUGGGGUGAAGUCGUAACAAGGUAACCGUAGGGGAACCUGC